rnacentral:rRNA from 1 species
CGGANGAAAAGNNCCNACAGGGAUUGCUCUAGUAACGGCGAGUGAAGCAGCANUAGCUCAAAUUUGAAAUCUGGCGUCUUCGGCGUCCGAGUUGUAAUUUGUAGAGGAUGCUUCUGGGCAGCCACCGACCUAAGUUCCUUGGAACAGGACGUCAUAGAGGGUGAGAAUCCCGUAUGCGGUCGGAAAGGCACCCUACACGUAGCUCCUUCGACGAGUCGAGUUGUUUGGGAAUGCAGCUCUAAAUGGGAGGUAAAUUUCUUCUAAAGCUAAAUAUUGGCCAGAGACCGAUAGCGCACAAGUAGAGUGAUCGAAAGAUGAAAAGCACUUUGGAAAGAGAGUUAAAAAGCACGUGAAAUUGUUGAAAGGGAAGGGAUUGCAACCAGACUUGCUCGCGGUGUUCCGCCGGUCUUCUGACCGGUUCACUCGCCGCGUUGCAGGCCAGCAUCGUCUGGUGCCGCUGGAUAAGACUGGAGGAAUGUAGCUCCCUCGGGAGUGUUAUAGCCUCUAGUGAUGCAGCGAGCGCCGGGCGAGGUCCGCGCUUCGGCUAGGAUGCUGGCGUAAUGGUCGUAAUCCGCCCGUCUUGAAACACGGACCAAGGAGUCUAACAUCUAUGCGAGUGUUCGGGUGUCAAACCCCUACGCGUAAUGAAAGUGAACGGAGGUGAGAACCGCAAGGUGCAUCAUCGACCGAUCCUGAUGUCUUCGGAUGGAUUUGAGUAUGAGCAUAGCUGUUGGGACCCGAAAGAUGGUGAACUAUGCCUGAAUAGGGUGAAGCCAGAGGAAACUCUGGUGGAGGCUCGCAGCGGUUCUGACGUGCAAAUCGAUCGUCAAAUUUGGGUAUAGGGGCGAAAGACUAAUCGAACCAUCUAGUAG